GACACGACUCUCGGCAAUGGAUAUCUCGGCUCUUGCAUCGAUGAAGAGCGCAGCGAAAUGCGAUAUGUGGUGCGAAUUGCAGAAUCCCGCGAACCAUCGAGUCUUUGAACGCAAGUUGCGCCCGAGGCCUGCYGGCCAAGGGCACGUCCGCUUGGGCGUCAAGC
rnacentral:rRNA from 1 species